GAGUGACUCAAACCAUUUGAGCAGAAAAACCAGGGCAGGAAUUCACAGUGCAGCCUACAAGAUUUCUACAAACAAAGACAAAGUGUAAACACAGACAGUGUGUCUGAAAGUCACGCAGAUCAGAAGGGAACAGGGUCAUGAUGAAUGUCCACAGAUCAGAAAUGUGUGUGCACCACAGUGACCUUUGACCCCCAACACCCCCCCAAAGCCAAAGACAGGACACCAAGAGACCUGAACAAACACACAUGCGGUUAUCUUAUCUCUCAGCCAGGCAGGGAUCAGAUCCUGGAACAUGACUCAACGCUGAAGGCACACGAGUCUAUCAGACGUCUUUGGAUGCUGUAGAAUGAAAUUUUGCCUUCACUCGAUCUUGGAGACCCAAAACCUGUUCCAGCAUGAUGAUCUGCUUUCCAUGGGAUGGAUGAGUGUGUGGAAGAUCUCCUGCUAUGGAGCUCCAACCCUCAACCCUUAUUUGUUGAGCACUUUUAUCAUGGGCAUUGUUCCAAAGCCGUUUUAUUGUAAUUAAUAAUUAUGAAUAUUAAUGAACACAAGCUACAUAAUAUUUUAUUCUUUUUAAUGUUAAUAUAAGAUUCCAAGUCUUAACUAGAUGUGUUUUUAAGAGAACUGCAUCCAAACAUCUGUACAGUUGUGUCAAACUUUGUGGUAACAGUUUGGAAAAGAACCUCAAAGCCUUGUCCAAAUACUUUUGGUGACACAGUGAAUUGUUUUAAGUCUGAGCUUUUAAAGGGUGUGUGUGUGUGUG